AUGAACGCUGGCGGCGUGCCUAAUACAUGCAAGUCGAGCGAACGGACGAGAAGCUUGCUUCUCUGAUGUUAGCGGCGGACGGGUGAGUAACACGUGGAUAACCUACCUAUAAGACUGGGAUAACUUCGGGAAACCGGAGCUAAUACCGGAUAAUAUUUUGAACCGCAUGGUUCAAAAGUGAAAGACGGUCUUGCUGUCACUUAUAGAUGGAUCCGCGCUGCAUUAGCUAGUUGGUAAGGUAACGGCUUACCAAGGCAACGAUGCAUAGCCGACCUGAGAGGGUGAUCGGCCACACUGGAACUGAGACACGGUCCAGACUGCUACGGGAGGCAGCAGUAGGGAAUCUUCCGCAAUGGGCGAAAGCCUGACGGAGCAACGCCGCGUGAGUGAUGAAGGUCUUCGGAUCGUAAAACUCUGUUAUUAGGGAAGAACAUAUGUGUAAGUAACUGUGCACAUCUUGACGGUACCUAAUCAGAAAGCCACGGCUAACUACGUG
rnacentral:rRNA from 1 species